rnacentral:lncRNA from 1 species
UGCAUCACCUUCAACCUCCAGACACUGGAAUAGUGCCACCGGAGCUGGAUUCUGGGCAGACCUGCAACUGCACAUUUCUCUCUUGUUUUUGCACCAUUUUCUACGAAAUCUUCACCCAAAUGUCACAAAUUUCAAGAGGAAGAUGGUUAUACCUCUUUGGAGCCUUAAAUCAUUCGAAAACAUGUCGGAAAAUCUCACCAAAACCGGCCACCUUCAAACCUCGUGAUCCCGACGUCCAAAACCUUCAAACGAAGCAUUCCAAGCUUUCUUGGGACCUUACUAAGCUCACUAUGAACUUGGAUUGUCCUAAAUAACAACCAUUCGAAAGUUCAUGAAUAGUGCUCAACUCAGAGCUUGAGUUUUCAACGUGAAAUCGAACGAGUUCUUACCUGAAACGGGUACCUUUGUACUCGUAUGGUCCUCACGAACACAAUGGUACCAAUUUCUUCUUCGGAGGAGAGGGAAGAGAAAGAGAGUGAGUCUGGGAGAGAGUAUAGGAGAGAAGAGAGAGAAAGGGUAUGGAUGUGAGUGUGUGGUUCCAAAGUGUACACCGAUUACCCCUAAAAAUUUUCUUACUUCCAAUUGGGUCCAAAUUAGUAGGGACUUAAUACAUUGGUCCUCAACCACAACCACACCUACUCCCAUGAUGCCACAAACGCUCAAGGGCAUUUUAGUAUUUUCACAUCAACGAUAACAAAAUAUAGUACAUUUCCAGGAUGGGUUGUGACACCAGCCCUAAGAAAAGUAUUUAUAAAUCAAAGCAUAUUUGUCGAUUUGACCCUUAAACUUGCAUAGAGCUAUCAAUUUCACCCCUGAACUUUAAUUUUAGCCGAUUACCCCCAAAUUUUUAUAAUUAGCCAAUUUCCCCUUGAACUUUAAUUUUAGUCGAUUACCGCUUGAACUUUAUAUAUAGCCAAUUUUCCCCUAAUGGUAGAUUUAAAAAUUUUAUUCAAUAGUUUAUCCCUUUUGAUCACGCGGACAACAUAUAUGAGAACUAUAUGAGGACAAAAAGAAUAGAAAAUUGGAUGGAUGAAAAAUUUAUUAUCUAAUGCUAGGGAGGAAAUUGGCUAUUUAUAAAAUUUUAGAGGGGUAAUCGACUAAAGUUAAAGUUCAAAGGGAAAAUUGGCUAAUCAUAAAAGUUGAUAGGGUAAUCAGCUAAAAUUAAAGUUCAAGGUGGAAAUUGGCACCUCUAUACAAGUUUAGAGAGCAAACCGACAAAUACCUCUAUAAAUCAAUUUGAUGUGGGUUUUUCGGGUUUUCAGCUAUAUUUGCUUGAACUUUCAUGGCCUUCUGGACUAGCGCAUCUUUGCAUAGCCUGUCAGGCAUUUCCACUGCAUUCGGAAUUAGACC